rnacentral:rRNA from 1 species
GCUGACGACAGCCAUGCCGCGUGUGUGAAGAAGGUCUUCGGAUUGUAAAGCACUUUAAGUUGGGAGGAAGGGCAGUAAAUUAAUACUUUGCUGUUUUGACGUUACCGACAGAAUAAGCACCGGCUAACUCUGUGCCAGCAGCCGCGGUAAUACAGAGGGUGCAAGCGUUAAUCGGAAUUACUGGGCGUAAAGCGCGCGUAGGUGGUUUGUUAAGUUGGAUGUGAAAUCCCCGGGCUCAACCUGGGAACUGCAUUCAAAACUGACUGACUAGAGUAUGGUAGAGGGUGGUGGAAUUCCAUGUGUAGCAGUGAAAUGCGUAGAGAUAUGGAAGAACACCGAUGGCGAAGGCAGCCCCCUGGGUUAACACUGACGCUCAGGCACGAAAGCGUGGGGAGCAAACAGGAUUAGAUACCCUGGUAGUCCACGCCCUAAACGAUGUCAACUAGUUGUCGGGCCUGAAUAGGCUUGGUAACGUAGCUAACGCGUGAAGUUGACCGCCUGGGGAGUACGGUCGCAAGAUUAAAACUCAAAGGAAUUGACGGGGACCCGCACAAGCGGUGGAUUAUGUGGAUUAAUUCGAUGCAACGCGAAAAACCUUACCUACCCUUGACAUGUACCGAAGCUUGCUGAGAGGUGAGUGUGCCCGAAAGGGAACGGUAACACAGGUGCUGCAUGGCUGUCGUCAGCUCGU